rnacentral:rRNA from 1 species
UCGACCUCAGAUCAGGUAGGAAUACCCGCUGAACUUAAGCAUAUCAAUAAGCGGAGGAAAAGAAACCAACAGGGAUUGCCUCAGUAACGGCGAGUGAAGCGGCAACAGCUCAAAUUUGAAAUCUGGCCUCUGGCCCGAGUUGUAAUUUGCAGAGGAUGUUUCUGGCGAGGUGCCUUCCGAGUUCCCUGGAACGGGACGCCAUAGAGGGUGAGAGCCCCGUACGGUUGGUCGCUAAGCCUCUGUGAAACUCCUUCGACGAGUCGAGUAGUUUGGGAAUGCUGCUCUAAAUGGGAGGUGUACGCCUUCUAAAGCUAAAUAUAGGCUAGAGACCGAUAGCGCACAAGUAGAGUGAUCGAAAGAUGAAAAGCACUUUGAAAAGAGGGUUAAAUAGUACGUGAAAUUGUUGAAAGGGAAGCGCUCUUGACCAGACUUGCGCCGGUUGAUCAUCCACCGUUCUCGGUGGUGCACUCUGCCGGCUCAGGCCAGCAUCAGUUCGGCUUGGGGGAUAAAGGCUUCGGGAAUGUGGCUCUCUCCGGGGAGUGUUAUAGCCCGUUGCGUAAUACCCUGGG